GACGAACGCUGGCGGCGUGCUUAACACAUGCAAGUCGAACGGAAAGGCCCUGCUUGCAGGGUACUCGUGUGGCGAACGGGUGAGUAACACGUGGGUGAUCUGCCCUGCACUUCGGGAUAAGCCUGGGAAACUGGGUCUAAUACCGGAUAGGAGCCAUUUUUAGUGUGAUGGUUGGAAAGUUUUUUCGGUGUAGGAUGAGCUCGCGGCCUAUCAGCUUGUUGGUGGGGUAAUGGCCUACCAAGGCGGCGACGGGUAGCCGGCCUGAGAGGGUGGACGGCCACAUUGGGACUGAGAUACGGCCCAGACUCCUACGGGAGGCAGCAGUGGGGAAUAUUGCACAAUGGGCGCAAGCCUGAUGCAGCGACGCCGCGUGGGGGAUGACGGCCUUCGGGUUGUAAACUCCUUUCGCUAGGGACGAAGCUUUUUGUGACGGUACCUAGAUAAGAAGCACCGGCUAACUACGUG
rnacentral:rRNA from 1 species